GGGGCGCCUGUGGGAGUCGUGGAGGGAACUUUCCCAGGCCCCGAGGCGGAUCGGGUAUUGAGUCCAUGGAGCGAGCUGAGAGCUAGAGUACAGAACCUGCUAAGGCCAUCAAACCUAUCGAUCGGAAGUCAGUCCAUCAGAUUUGCUCUGGGCCGGUGGUACUGAGUCUAAGCACUGCGGUGAAGGAGUUAGUAGAAAACAGUCUGGAUGCUGGUGCCACCAAUAUUGCGAUGUCACCAUUUCUACCUGCCACGCAUCGGCGAAGGUUGGGACUCGACUGGUGUUUGAUCACGAUGGGAAAAUCAUCCAGAAAACCCCCUACCCCCACCCCAGAGGGACCACAGUCAGCGUGAAGCAGUUAUUUUCUACACUACCUGUGCACCAUAAGGAAUUUCAAAGGAAUAUUAAGAAGGAUGGCCGUAUAAGAAAAUAAACAACUUGCUAAAACUGCUGAAACUCCCUCUGCUUGUGAGAUUUAAAAAAACUGGCUGAAAUUGGUUGGAACCAACAUGUCCAAUGGAGUCUGAAUAGAAAGAGCUUGCUGACAUCACAGCCCGAAUUUCCACCACAUUUCAUACUAACUCCCCCUGAAUUUGCAUAUGCAAACCACAAGCAAGCAUGAUCAAACAGACAACUGCGCGUGUCCGAGGACUUUCCAGAUCUCCCCUUUCCUUCCACCAAUCACUUACUAAUCUGAGAAUCCAUCCCCUAAUAAAAUCACUGCCUUAAAGCCUGCACAGGAAGACAAAUU
ensembl:lncRNA PMS2P4 PMS1 homolog 2, mismatch repair system component pseudogene 4